UACAGAGGUCUCAAGCGUUGUUCGGAUUCAUUGGGCGUAAAGGGUGCGUAGGUGGCGAGGUAAGUUGGAUGUGAAAUCCCGGGGCUCAACCCGGAACUGCAUUCAAUACUGCCUUGCUGGAGUACUGGAGAGGAGAUUGGAAUUACGGUGUAGCAGUGAAAUGCGUAGAUAUCGUAAGGAAGACCAGUGGCGAAGGCGGAUCUCUGGACAGUUACUGACACUGAGGCACGAAGGCCAGGGAGCAAAC
rnacentral:rRNA from 1 species